GGUUGAUCCUGCCAGUAGUCAUAUGCUUGUCUCAAAGAUUAAGCCAUGCAUGUCUAAGUAUAAACAUCUUUAUACAGUGAAACUGCGUACAGCUCAUUAUAUCAGUAAUGAUUUAUUUGAUGGUACCUUACUACAUGGAUACCCGUAGUAAUUCUAGAGCUAAUACAUGCGUCAAAUCCUAACUCGUGUUAAAGCGGGGAGGGAUGUAUUUAUUAGAUAACAAAAUCAAUGCAAGUUAGCAAUAACUUGGUUCUUUGGUGACUCAUAGUAACUGUUCGAAUCGCAUGGCUUU
rnacentral:rRNA from 1 species